GAUGAACGCUGGCGGCGUGCUUAACACAUGCAAGUCGAACGAAGCAUUUAGGACAGAUUACUUCGGUUUGAAGUUCUUUAUGACUGAGUGGCGGACGGGUGAGUAACGCGUGGGUAACCUGCCUUGUACUGGGGGAUAGCAGCUGGAAACGGCUGGUAAUACCGCAUAAGCGCACAAUGUUGCAUGACAUGGUGUGAAAAACUCCGGUGGUAUAAGAUGGACCCGCGUCUGAUUAGCUAGUUGGUGAGAUAACAGCCCACCAAGGCGACGAUCAGUAGCCGAGCUGAGAGGGUGACCGGCCACAUUGGGACUGAGACACGGCCCAGACUCCUACGGGAGGGAGCAGUGGGGAAUAUUGCACAAUGGAGGAAACUCUGAUGCAGCGACGCCGCGUGAGUGAAGAAGUAAUUCGUUAUGUAAAGCUCUAUCAGCAGGGAAGAUAGUGACGGUACCUGACUAAGAAGCUCCGGCUAAAUACGUG
rnacentral:rRNA from 1 species